CCUACGGGUGGCAGCAGUGGGGGAUCUUUCACAAUGGGCGAAAGCCUGAUGCAGCAACGCCGCGUGCAGGAUGAAGGCCUUCGGGUUGUAAACUGCUUUUAUCAGCGAGGAAUAUGAUGGUGACUUAUGAAUAAGGAUCGGCUAACUACGUGACAGCAGCCGCGGUCAUACGUAGGAUCCGAGAAUUAUCCGGGGUGACUGGGUGUAGAGAGUUGCGUAGGUGGCAUAAUAAGUAGCUAGGGAAAUCUGGUGGCUCAACCAUUCAGACUAUUAGCUAAACUGUUAAGCUUGAGACCGGUAGGGGUAAGUGGAAUUUCUAGUGUAGGAGUGAAAUGCGUAGAUAUUAGAAGGAACACCAAUGGCGUAGGCAGGUUGCUGGGCCGGUUCUGACAUUAAGGCACGAAAGCGUAGGGAGCAAACGGGAUUAGAUACCCUAGUAGUC
rnacentral:rRNA from 1 species